ensembl:lncRNA
CUAACAUAACUUACUGGCUGGAAAUGCAUCUUCAGUUCUUCUCUUUUCCUCCUAAUGUAAAAAAAAUGUUGCUUCGAACUACUAAGAUGAUAUUUUCAGUAACUAAAAAUGAAAUGGUGAAAGGGAAAACGAAAACAGAAGUGGUCAAAACUGUGAAAGGGCUGCACUCGAAGACACGUUUCAAAUCAAUCUUCCAUCACAAAUCUUCUUUCAUCGGAAGGGCAAGGGCCUGUAGCAUUUGUGUGUGUGCAUUACUGCAUUUUGAUUGAAUCAGUCUGAUGGAGCUGCAGCAGAGGCAAUCAGUGUCACCCAAUGUGUAUGAACAGGGAAAUGAGGAGGAAACAACAGAUGCCAAACCUGAAGAACUGUAUCAGUGUCUACAGUUUCCUCCAAAAGCAGCCAAAAAAACAGAUGACCCCCAGCAUUCUGCUUCAGGUGAAGGAAAGAAGAUUUUCCUGCUUCUAGCUCUCAUUACUGUCCUACUGACCAUUCUCCUUAUCAUCUCAGUAGUGCAUUGUGAGUUUUAGGCCUUUCAUAGUUGUACAUUUUUUAUAUAUAAACUUGGAUUAAUAAUGGAGUUUCUGAUGUGAGUGUAAGAAAUGGUAAACGUUUUUUUUUUCUUUUUCUUACUUCAGACUCACAUUUUCAGCAGACACUGGGAGUGAUGGACCGACCAAUCACAAAUGAAGAAGUGUGGCACCUCCGUGCUGAUGUGUUCUAUUUGUUCUGGUAUGAGGGGGGUGACUGCAACGCUGCUGAAAGCUUCUGUAUCCGAAGAAAUGCUAGCAUUGCUACUGCAACUGAACAUAACAUGGCUUGGCUGCAGUCACAGACCAAUGGAAAGCAAAUACUGGUGAGAAGAGAUAAUUUCGACGGCUCUGGGAAUACUGACUCCCUCAUACAAAUGGAUGAAGAUGAUACAGAGUGUAACCUCCUGACCCAUGAACUUCAAAAACAGCAGGCAGAAGGAUGGGUGUGUGGAAGAGCAGCAAAAUGAUCAUCACAACUAAUAUUUUCAAUAUUAAUCCACAAUUCCAAAUCACAAAAAAAAACAUUUAAAUUUCCUAACAAAAAUUGUUAUCUAUAUAUUUUCAGAUCCAUGAAUUUAAAGCUACCGCAAAACUGCUGUUCAGAGUUUUAAGUUAAAUAGAUUUGAAUGUAUUAUUAUAAAUUGACCUGAAUUGUAUAAAUCUGAAAAUGCAUAUUUUAUUAAUCUGGAAAUUAUAUAUUUUUUUAUUUUCAAAUGUUUUUCAGCAAAUUGCACCACUUCCACUCCAAAAAAGCAUUUAAAUUAUAAUGAUAAAUCACGCCAUUAAAUUGUUAACCUCAAUAGAUCUAUAGUUACAUUAAACAGUAUAUUUAAAAAGCCAAUGUGGAGAGACCAGGUUUUAUCUAACGGUGGUGAUCAACUGAGCUGUAUGUUCGUAAAGCAUAUAUUUUAUUUGAUGUGUCCUCAGUACAGAAGGUGGAAGCAGGGUUCUGAGUGUUUAUAGAUGUGCAGGUAAAAAGAGGUGUGAAUAGUUUCUAAACUAAACUCAGAUUUCAUCUACAUUAUUGCAUUCUCUGCUUUACCAAAGUGAUAAAGAAAUUCUUGCUGAUUCGACAGACACUGAUAUUGUGACUAAUCCAUACAUCCAUAAAAUCCAUGUGCUAUUCAGCUUACUGGUAGUUAUCACUAAGAAACACAAUCAUUUCAAUUCACUUUUCCUCAAUUAUUCACUCCAAACAUUUCUAGUUUCUUGAAAAUUGCUCCCACCUGCAGGACGUUUUUUUUUUUAGUUUAGACUGGACUAUCUCAAAGAUGUGUUUUUGAGACAUCCUGUAGAGCAGUUAUUUUAAGCAGAUUUUCAUCAAAAGUUUAUCAUGGGUCACAAACUUCAAGCAGUUCCACUAACUAGCAUUAGUCUGUUCCGUGGCAACCAUUAGCUCCAGCUAAUAACAGCUAGCUAAAAUGGCAUAAUAAUUAACCUGCUUGCUGGAGAAAAGUUUGUAUGGAACUCUGUCUAAGCUUAAUUAAAUUCACCCAGAAUAAUCCAUUUACUUUGUGCAUCAGUGUUUUACAUGUAAUUGCUACAUUAUAAUGAGAAGUGUAUUUAAAAUGCAUAAAAAUGCUUUAUGAUGAUUAACUUUUACGUGAAAUAAACAAAAACAAAAUAAUAAAUAACA